GGAAUCUUGCGCAAUGGGGGAAACCCUGACGCAGCAACGCCGCGUGGGUGAUGAAGGCCUUCGGGUCGUAAAGCCCUGUCAGGUGGGAAGAACCGUAUCGGUACAAACAGUGCCGAUGCUUGACGGUACCACCGGAGGAAGCACCGGCUAACUCCGUGCCAGCAGCCGCGGUAAUACGGAGGGUGCAAGCGUUGUUCGGAAUUACUGGGCGUAAAGCGCGUGCAGGCGGUUGAGCAAGUCAGAUGUGAAAGCCUUCCGCUUAACGGAAGAAGUGCAUUUGAAACUACUCGGCUAGAGUUCGAGAGAGGAGAGUGGAAUUCCCGGUGUAGAGGUGAAAUUCGUAGAUAUCGGGAGGAACACCGGUGGCGAAGGCGGCUCUCUGGCUCGAUACUGACGCUGAGACGCGAAAGCGUGGGGAGCAAACAGGAU
rnacentral:rRNA from 1 species